rnacentral:rRNA from 2 species
AGCAGCCGCGGUAAUUCCAGCUCCAAUAGCGUAUAUUAAAGUUGUUGCAGUUAAAAAGCUCGUAGUUGAAUUUCGGGAUUGACGUGAUGGUCAUGCCUUAAGGGGUAUGAACUGUUACUGUUGAUUUCUCACCUUCUGGAGAAACUUGAUGUCCUUUAUUGGGUGUCUUGCGGAUCCAGGACCUUUACCUUGAAAAAUUAGAGUGUUUAAAGCAGGCAUUUUUGCUCGAAUACAUUAGCAUGGAAUAAUAGAAUAGGACGGCAUGGUUCUAUUUUGUUGGUUUCUAGGAUCACCGUAAUGAUUAAUAGGGAUAGUUGGGGGCAUUAGUAUUCAAUUGUCAGAGGUGAAAUUCUUGGAUUUAUUGAAGACUAACUACUGCGAAAGCAUUUGCCAAGGAUGUUUUCAUUAAUCAAGAACGAAAGUUAGGGGAUCGAAGACGAUCAGAUACCG